GUGCUCGCUUCGGCAGCAUAUAUACUAAAACUGGAACAAUAUAGAGAAGAUUAGCAUGGGCCCUGCACAAGGAUGAUGCAAAAAAAUCAUGAGGCAUUCCAUAUUUAA